rnacentral:rRNA from 1 species
CCCUUAGAUGUUCUGGGCCGCACGCGCGCUACACUGAUGCAUUCAACGAGCCUAUCCUUGACCGACAGGUCCGGGUAAUCUUUGAAUCUGCAUCGUGACGGGGAUAGAUUAUUGCAAUUAUUAAUCUUCAACGAGGAAUGCCUAGUAGGCGCAAGUCAUCAGCUUGCGUCGAUUACGUCCCUGCCCUUUGUACACACCGCCCGUCGCUCCUACCGAUUGGGUGUGCUGGUGAAAUGUUCGGAUCGGCCGUUUGUCGCGGUUUCCGCGUCUCGUGGCUGAGAAGUUCAUUAAACCCUCCCACCUAGAGGAAGGAGAAGUCGUAACA